rnacentral:rRNA from 1 species
CUGCUGCCUCCCGUAGGAGUCUGGACCGUGUCUCAGUUCCAGUGUGGCUGGUCAUCCUCUCAGACCAGCUAGGGAUCGUCGCCUAGGUGAGCCGUUACCCCACCUACUAGCUAAUCCCAUCUGGGCACAUCCGAUGGCAAGAGGCCCGAAGGUCCCCCUCUUUGGUCUUGCGACGUUAUGCGGUAUUAGCUACCGUUUCCAGUAGUUAUCCCCCUCCAUCAGGCAGUUUCCCAGACAUUACUCACCCGUCCGCCA